rnacentral:rRNA from 1 species
AUUGAACGCUGGCGGCAGGCCUAACACAUGCAAGUCGAGCGUGCGGCGGACGGGUGAGUAAUGUCUGGGAAACUGCCUGAUGGCGGGGGAUAACUACUGGAAACGGUAGCUAAUACCGCAUACCAUCAGAUGUGCCCAGAUGGGAUUAGCUAGUCGGUGGGGUAACGACUCACCUAGGCGACGAUCCCUAGCUGGUCUGAGAGGAUGACCAGCCACACUGGAACUGAGACACGGUCCAGACUCCUACGGGAGGCAGCAGUGGGGAAUAUUGCACAAUGGGCGCAAGCCUGAUGCAGCCAUGCCGCGGGGAUGAAGAAGGCCUUCGGGUUGUAAAGUACUUUCAGCGGGGAGGCGUUACCCGCAGAAGAAGCACCGGCUAACUCCGUGCCAGCAGCCGCGGUAAUUC